AGGAUUCUUCACCACUAGUGCCACCCAGGAAGCCCUGGUAGCUAGUAUGCAGCACUUACUAGAGCCUAAGGCCUGAUCUGACUACUUUACUUGCAUGGAUUAGCUCAUUUAAGCCUUAUAACACCCUUAUGCAGUAGCUACUGUUGUUAUUAGUAUUUUACUAGCAUGGCAGUUGAAGUACAAAGAAGUUAUGGCGACCACAAAGGGACCCAGAGUGGACUUCCUUCCUUCAAUUGGACUCCAUGAGGAGCCAGAGCUUUGGUACCAGCAGUGGCCCCUUGAGCCCAUCCACCUCCUUGGGGAGUGCAGAUGAAUUUAGGUAAGGAUUCUAAUGGGAAACCUGAUGACUUCACAAAGGUUAACAGAAGGCCUGAAUGAACUGG